rnacentral:rRNA from 1 species
AUUGAACGCUGGCGGCAUGCCGUACACAUGCAAGUCGAACGGUAACGGGCCUUCGGGUGCCGACGAGUGGCGAACGGGUGAGUAAUACAUCGGAACGUGCCCGAUCGUGGGGGAUAACGAGGCGAAAGCUUUGCUAAUACCGCAUACGAUCUACGGAUGAAAGCAGGGGACCGCAAGGCCUUGCGCGGACGGAGCGGCCGAUGGCAGAUUAGGUAGUUGGUGGGAUAAAAGCUUACCAAGCCGACGAUCUGUAGCUGGUCUGAGAGGAUGAUCAGCCACACUGGGACUGAGACACGGCCCAGACUCCUACGGGAGGCAGCAGUGGGGAAUUUUGGACAAUGGGCGCAAGCCUGAUCCAGCCAUGCCGCGUGCAGGAUGAAGGCCUUCGGGUUGUAAACUGCUUUUGAACGGAACGAAAAGCCUUCUUUUAAUACAGGAGGGUCAUGACGGUACCGUAAGAAUAAGCACCGGCUAACUACGUG